ACAAACAGAUGCAAUGAAAUCUCUGGCCGAAGCUCUGGGGUCACUUCCCCGAUUCCAGAUCAGGUCGGGCAGGGAUUUGGUUGCAUCACCCGAAAGAU
rfam:Actinomyces marimammalium strain DSM 15383 Scaffold4, whole genome shotgun sequence.